AUGGAUUUUGGUGAAGAUUAGACUUGGUUUUGGCUGAAUUUCAGAUUGAAACUCGAAGAAAAAGAAGAAGAUUCUUACAAUUCACAUUGAUUGUCCACUCAGUUGUAUGCCUUUAAGUUUGGUAAUUGUGCCUUUAUAAAUGAUUGUAAAUAAAUCUCCUUGUAGUCUUAAGUUUUGAAAGGGAAAUUCAUAUUCCGUGAAACAUCCUCUGUACAAUAGAUUUAAGUAUCUUCUCUACCACUGAGUUGUGCUUCUAUUGAGUGAGAACUGAAUAAAUCAGUGUCUGCAUAUGUAAUUUAAGGUUGAAUCUCUAACAACAUGAGAAUGGUGAUUGAGUAUAAGGUGUGUGAGCUCUUAAUACCUUCUUUCUAUUCUGUAUGAACCAGAUAGAGGAGAUUCAGAUGUCACUGCUACCAAGGCAACUCGAUAGUAAAAGACAGCUGAAGUGUAGUUACUUUAACUAUUUAUGAUUCUAAUAUCAUGAUUCUUUGACUCAAAAUCAAAUUUUGCUUAGUAUUAUAGAGCUUCAAAUAACAAUAAAAUUCUAACUUAGAGGGGCUUUCAAGAGCACUUAGUUACCAACAUGACAUUCAAAGAUAAAGAGUAACUCUUUUUUUCCUAUAAUAAUUGAUGCCAUGGUAUGCACACAUCCUGUAAAUAAAAAUACUUAUGUUGUAGGUGUCUGUGAGGAGAAGCCAGAAGUUAUCUGACAAGAUUACAUAAACUAGUUUCUCCUUUAUAGCAAGAUGGGCACACGUUAGUACUGCAUGAAGCUGCAAUAUCUGGCAAUGCUCUUCAUGGGACGGCCAAAAGGAGUCACUCCUAAAUUCAGCCUGGCACUGCUCGUCCCAGGUGAUCUAAACUGCUUGUCCAGGGACAAAGGUUCAUCGAAAAGGAAAAUGAUGUUGGCCAAGGAGGAAUCCAUAGACAGCUGAUUUUAUUUUCCAUGUUUAUGCACAAUUGAAUGUAUUAUGGAGUGUUGUAUACUUUGUAGAAUAGAUGGUAAUGAAAAGUUCUAUGUCAUUUCGUUCAAUUGUAUUUGGUGGUGUUUCUUAUAAUAUGAUAU